UUGAAGAGGUGGCUAAAAAAAGGAUGAUCAUGCAGUGGGAAGAGUUGACUUUGAUUUUCAUUCGAAUUUUUCUUGUAGGCACUUUUAGUGUCUAAUUUCGGCCCGAAAAUUUCGUUCAAGAUCGUGGACAGCCUUCGGGAAGAUAUACUAGCGGGGAAGCUGAAGUCUGGAAGUGAGAUAAAGGAGGCUUUGAAGACGAGCGUGCUCCAUUUGUUGACAAGCAAGGGCAAUAAGACAGAGCUUCAGCUGGGAUUUAGAAAACCUGCAGUGAUUAUGAUUGUUGGUGUUAAUGGAGGGGGAAAGACAACGUCUCUUGGUAAUCAUUUUGAUCUUGUAUGUUCACUUGCACAUUUUCCGUUUAUGCUUUCACCUUAAAGAAAGUAGCGGAGUGUAUUCUUUUCAUCCUUAGGCUAGGUACUUUACCCAAGUUACUCAGGUUUAUUUUUUGUGUAGGAUUUACUUGUAAGAUGUAACAGUGAUCGCAAAAUCUUUUUAGCAAAGUUCUUCUCAACUCAUCUAUUUGUGUUUGAAUUUUGGAGUUAAUUCUACCUCUCAUUAUGCUCCUGUAUUGAUUGCAACUAGACAUGUAAUUCAUGUAUAGAGAUGAAUUGGUUGCUGAUUGAUAAGGCAA